GAUGAACGCUGGCGGCGUGCUUAACACAUGCAAGUCGAACGAUGAAGCCCAGCUUGCUGGGUGGAUUAGUGGCGAACGGGUGAGUAACACGUGAGGAACCUGCCACUAAAUCUGGGAUAAGCCUGGGAAACUGGGUCUAAUACCGGAUAGGAGCGUCCACCGCAUGGUGGGUGUUGGAACGAUUUAUCGGUUUUGGAUGGACUCGCGGCCUAUCAGCGUGUUGGUGCGGUAAUGGCUCACCAAGGCGACGACGGGUAGCCGGCCGGAGAGGGUGACCGGCCACACUGGGACUGAGACACGGCCCAGACUCCUACGGGAGGCAGCAGUGGGGAAGAUUGCACAAUGGGCGCAAGCCUGAUGCAGCGACGCCGCGUGGGGGAUGACGGCCUUCGGGUUGUAAACCUCUUUCAGUAGGGAAGAAGCGAAAGUGACGGUACCUGCAGAAGAAGCACCGGCUAACUACGUG
rnacentral:rRNA from 1 species